UCUGUAAAGUUCCUUCGACGAGUCGAGUAGUUUGGGAAUGCUGCUCUAAAUGGGAGGUAUAUGUCUUCUAAAGCUAAAUACCGGCCAGAGACCGAUAGCGCACAAGUAGAGUGAUCGAAAGAUGAAAAGCACUUUGAAAAGAGAGUUAAAAAGUACGUGAAAUUGUUGAAAGGGAAGCGUUUAUGACCAGACUUGGGCUUGGUUAAUCAUCUGGGGUUCUCCCCAGUGCACUUUUCCAGUCCAGGCCAGCAUCAGUUUUCGCCGGGGGAUAAAGACUUCGGGAAUGUGGCUCUCUCCGGGGAGUGUUAUAGCCCGUUGUGUAAUACCCUGGCGGGGACUGAGGUUCGCGCAUCUGCAAGGAUGCUGGCGUAAUGGUCAUCAACGACCCGUCUUGAAACACGGACCAAGGAGUCGUCUUCGUAUGCGAGUGUUCGGGUGUCAAACCCCUACGCGUAAUGAAAGUGAACGCAGGUGAGAGCUUCGGCGCAUCAUCGACCGAUCCUGAUGUUCUCGGAUGGAUUUGAGUAAGAGCAUACGGGGCCGGACCCGAAAGAAGGUGAACUAUGCCUGUAUAGGGUGAAGCCAGAGGAAACUCUGGUGGAGGCUCGCAGCGGUUCUGACGUGCAAAU
rnacentral:rRNA from 1 species